GAUGAACGCUAGCGGCAGGCCUAAUACAUGCAAGUCGAACGGGAUCCAGAUCAAAGCUUGCUUUGGUCUGGUGAGAGUGGCGCACGGGUGCGUAACGCGUGAGCAACCUACCCUUGUCAGGGGGAUAGCCCGGCGAAAGUCGGAUUAAUACCGCAUGACAUCAUUGAGAGGCAUCUUUCGAUGAUCAAAGAUUUAUCGGACAAGGAUGGGCUCGCGUGACAUUAGCUAGUUGGUAAGGUAACGGCUUACCAAGGCUGCGAUGUCUAGGGGCUCUGAGAGGAGAAUCCCCCACACUGGUACUGAGACGCGGACCAGACUCCUACGGGAGGCAGCAGUAAGGAAUAUUGGUCAAUGGACGGAAGUCUGAACCAGCCAUGCCGCGUGCAGGAGGACGGCCCUAUGGGUUGUAAACUGCUUUUAUACGGGAACAAACGUCGGUACGUGUACCGGUCUGAGUGUACCGUAAGAAUAAGAAUCGGCUAACUCCGUG
rnacentral:rRNA from 1 species